UGGGGAAUUUUGCACAAUGGGGGAAACCCUGAUGCAGCGACGCCGCGUGAUUUAGAAGGCCUUCGGGUUGUAAAAAUCUUUUCUAUGGGAAGAAAAUGACAGUACCAUAGGAAUAAGGACCGGCUAAUUACGUGCCAGCAGCCGCGGUAAUACGUAAGGUCCGAGCGUUGUCCGGAAUCAUUGGGUGUAAAGGGUACGUAGGCGGGUAAGCAAGUUAGAAGUGAAAUCCUAUAGCUCAACUAUAGUAAGCUUUUAAAACUGCUCAUCUUGAGGUAUGGAAGGGAAAGUGGAAUUCCUAGUGUAGCGGUGAAAUGCGCAGAUAUUAGGAGGAAUACCGGUGGCGAAGGCGACUUUCUGGCCAUAACCUGACGCUGAGGUACGAAAGCGUGGGUAGCAAACAGG
rnacentral:rRNA from 1 species